GGAAAUGACUACUGCUUUCUUCCUACCACGUAUCCCUAAAUAAGCCUUGGCCGACUGUCUGAAUACUGCCUUGCCAUUUAUAUUGCCUUAUGGCUAUACCAUAGAAUAAAUCGUACAUUUACUGUGAUGACAAGUCUUGAUUGGCACCUUGACUGGAUCAAGAAAUAACUAAGAGACGCACUUCUGGAUGGGUCUGUGAGGGUGUUUCUAAGAAGAAUAACUCAGUGGGGGAAGAGCUUCCCUUCGAAGAUGCAGUCCCUUUCAAAGGUGGUUCAGAUAUGAGGAGGUCUGAGGAAAAGUGUUGCCUGCCUGCUUGCCCAUCGCCUGUGAGUUGGACAAUAUGGGUCACAUGGGGUUGCUACAGAAUGAAAAGGAAGCAUCUCCUACUGACUCUUGUGCUGCGCACUUAAUGCCCAGCUUUGUGGGACUAUCUUGGGAGGAGAACUUCAGACGGUGAGACCUAGUUGGAGGAAGUAGGUAACUGGAAGCAGGCCCUGAAUGGCACUUUGUCCCUGGUCCUGGCCCCUUUCUGUCUGUGUUUCUUCUUGUGUGUCACAAGUGGAAAACCUCCUCACCAUGAAGUUCUGGGACCAAGCAACUGUGAGCUGAAACCUCUGAAUUCUUGACCCAAAAUAAAACUGUAUCCUCUUGUUUCUAUCAGAUAUUUUUGU
ensembl:lincRNA Gm31406 predicted gene, 31406